rnacentral:rRNA from 1 species
CCCAGACUCCUACGGGAGGCAGCAGUGGGGAAUAUUGCACAAUGGGGGGAACCCUGAUGCAGCGACGCCGCGUGGGUGAAGGAGUAUUUCGGUAUGUAAAGCCCUAUCAGCAGGGAAGAACAAUGACGGUACCUGACUAAGAAGCACCGGCUAAAUACGUGCCAGCAGCCGCGGUAAUACGUAUGGUGCAAGCGUUAUCCGGAUUUACUGGGUGUAAAGGGAGCGCAGGCGGCGCGUUAAGCCUGGUGUGAAAGCCCGGGGCCCAACCCCGGGACUGCCCUUGGAACUGCAUGGCUGGAGUGCGGGAGGGGCAGGCGGAAUUCCUGGUGUAGCGGUGAAAUGCGUAGAUAUCAGGAGGAACACCGGCGGCGAAGGCGGCCUGCUGGACCGCGACUGACGUUGAGGCUCGAAAGCGUGGGGAGCGAACAGGAUUAGAUACCCUCGUA